GACGAACGCUGGCGGCGUGCUUAACACAUGCAAGUCGAACGGAAAGGCCCUGCUUUUGUGGGGUGCUCGAGUGGCGAACGGGUGAGUAACACGUGAGUAACCUGCCCUUGACUUUGGGAUAACUUCAGGAAACUGGGGCUAAUACCGGAUAGGAGCUCCUGCUGCAUGGUGGGGGUGGGAAAUUUUCGGCGGUUGGGGAUGGACUCGCGGCUUAUCAGCUUGUUGGUGGGGUAGUGGCUUACCAAGGCUUUGACGGGUAGCCGGCCUGAGAGGGUGACCGGCCACAUUGGGACUGAGAUACGGCCCAGACUCCUACGGGAGGCAGCAGUGGGGAAUAUUGCACAAUGGGCGGAAGCCUGAUGCAGCAACGCCGCGUGCGGGAUGACGGCCUUCGGGUUGUAAACCGCUUUCGCCUGUGACGAAGCGUGAGUGACGGUAAUGGGUAAAGAAGCACCGGCUAACUACGUG
rnacentral:rRNA from 1 species